GGAAAACCGUAGAGAUACGGUCCCCCCUUGUGGUCGGUGUACAGGUGGUGCAUGGCUGUCGUCAGCUCGUGUCGUGAGAUGUUGGGUUAAGUCCCGCAACGAGCGCAACCCUUGUCUUAUGUUGCCAGCACGUGAUGGUGGGGACUCGUAAGAGACUGCCGGGGUCAACUCGGAGGAAGUGGGGACGACGUCAAGUCAUCAUGCCCCUUAUGUCCAGGGCUUCGACACAUGCUACAAUGGCCAGUACAGAGGGCUGCGAGACCGUGAGGUGGAGCGAAUCCCUUAAAGCUGGUCUCAGUUCGGAUCGGGGUCUGCAACUCGACCCCGUGAAGUCGGAGUCGCUAGUAAUCGCAGAUCAGCAACGCUGCGGUGAAUACGUUCCCGGGCCUU
rnacentral:rRNA from 1 species